UACACGCACACAUGUGCACACAUGUGCACACAUGUGCAUUCAUUUUUAUCUAUAUUAUCUAUAUAUUAUUAUAUGUGAUAUGAAAAUUCAUACAAAAUUAUUUUUCACAUAAAUGAUUCAUUUAGAACAACAUAUUCUUCAGGCAACAUAAAGCUCUUAGGCAAAAUCAUGUCAGUACAUAAAGAGCUGCCUCAUUUGUUGUAAUGAAUGCAAAGUAUGUAUUUUAUAUACAAAGGUGUGCCUCCAGUUAUGUAUUUUAUAUAAAUAUAUGCUUCAUUUAUUUGUUUUUUAAACUGAAUAAAGUAUCCAUCUGGGUAUGGCUUUUCAUACGAACCAUGCUGUUUGGAUUUUUUUUUUUACGUUUAAGAAUCUAGUCUGUAUUUCCUUUCAUUAUUAGAUAUUUAAAAAAUGUUUACAUCCUACAUAAAAGCUUUAGACUGUUCUUAGAUCUCUUUCCACCUACCCUGUUCCCAUGAGCAAAUUAGCUAAGUGGGACAUUUUACUCAGGUGCUUCCUAAUUGUGACUUGAAGAAGGAAGCCCUGAAUGACAAGUGUAGCACUUGAUUUUUAGCAGCUUGGCCUCAUGCAAAGCUGUGAGCAUCAUGUUUCCACUGCAGUCGGCGGUGCCCUGCAGAGGAGCCCUCCAAGGCAGGCCGCCUGUCCCCUUCAUGUCAGCUGCCUUGUCAGAUGCUGGCACAGCUUUGCUUAAGACUUGACUUCCAUUCUAUCAGAUUACAACUCACCUGCCACUGUCCCUCUGCCAGCAAGAAAGACACUGGAAAUGUCCUCAGCUAUAGAUUAAGUCCCAAAACCAAGGAUGGAGAUUCAACAACUUUUACUCACUCAGGAGUCUUAAAUGUCUCAGAUUCUCCAUUUUUCAGUAUGUACACAUGGAGAAAUGUUUUGUUAUCCUGCUUCAAGACACCACAGAGUAAACAUACCUCAAAACUCACAGAGGGAAGAAAAUGCAAAAUGAUGUCAGGAGAGAAGCAGAUCCAGGCGGAAUAUCACCAUGAGGCAGCAGAUCCUUGAUUCGAACAUCCGCUUAACGAUAAUAUAGAUACCACGUGAGAUAUGUUUCAAAACUGGAUAGCAAGUUGUGAACUGUUUUGAAGCCAGGUGGUUAUUUUCGUUGUUGUUAAAUAGUGCAUAUAUUCAUAGUAAGAAGUCAAUAACUCUCAAAUAUUUGUAGUAGAUUUUAAUAGACCCCAAAAGUGAAGGUGAAAUUUUCCCAAACAGAUUCUUUCUUCUCUAGCAAAUCACUUCCAGACUCUAUUGGAACAAAAAAGAAGUUCUUUUAAGCUUUUCUUUUCUUUUUUCUUUUCUUUUGAGAUGGAGUCUCGCUCUGUCACCCAGGCUGGAGUGCAAUGGCUCUAUCUCGGCUCACUGCAACCUCCACCUCCCGAGUUCAAGCAAUUCUCCUGCCUCAGCCUCCUGAGUAGCUGGGAAUGCAGGUGCCCACUACCAUGCCCAGCUUAUAUUUGUAUUUUUAGUAAAGACAGGGUUUCAUCAUGUUGGCCUGGAUGGUCUGGAUCUCCUGUCCUUGUGAUCCACCCACCUUGGCCUCUCAAAAUGCUGGGAUUACAGGCAUGAACCACCUCGCCAGGCAUUUUUUUUUUUUUUUUUGAGACUGAGUUUCACUCUUGUUGCCCAGGCUAAAGUACAAUGGUGCAAUCUCAGCUCACUGCAACCUCCCCCUCCAGGGUUCCAGUGAUUCUCCUGCCACAGCCUCCCAAGUAUCUGGGAUUAUAGGCGUGAACCACCAUGCCCUGCUAAUUUUGUAUUGUUUUAGUAGAGAAGGGGUUUCACCAUGUUGGUCAUGCUGGUCUUGAACUCCUGACCUCAAGUGAUCUACCUGCCUCAGUCUCCUAACGCACUUGGAGGGAUUAUAGGCAUGAGCCACUGUACCUCGCCCUAUUACCAUUUUUUUCUACAUAAGAAACUACAAAGAACAUUUAAAAUGAUUUAGUAUAUAUGCUCAGAAUUCUGGCAGUUUCACUAAAGGCCAUAAAAACCAACUGCAUUAACACUUCUUUUUUUUGAGACAGGGUCACUGCAACCUCUGCCUCGUGGGUUCAAACGAUCCUCAUGCCUCGGCCUCCCAAGUAGCUAGGACUACAGUCACAUGCCACCACGUACAGCUAAUUUUUUUUUUUUUUUUUUUUUUGGUAGAGAUAGGGUUUCACUGUGUUGGCCCUGCUGGUUUCAAACUCCUGGCCUCAAGUGAUCCACCCACCUUGACCCCUUCAAAGUGCUGGGUUUACAGGCAUGAGCCACUGCACCUGGCCUCAGUGAACACUUAUCCCCACACUUCUGUACCCUUGACAGGGGUGUUUUGAGGGUACUGGUAAUAACUGAAAAAUUAAAUAUAAAUGAAAUUGGAAGAUGUGUUUCAUAAACAUUUUGGGCAGACUUGCAUGGCUAUGUUCUUUGCACCCCUCUAUGAAUACGGCAUGAAGGAGCUCAGCUGCUACAACAGAGGACUUCCACCUUCUGCGUUCGGUUUUCUCUGAAAUCUUCUGGCAAACGAAUGGCACUACUGAUAAAAAUUCAACAGCUGCAUAAUUAUACCCAUGAGUUUCUUCUGCGGGAAGCAGCAUUUGACAGCAAACGUGAUUUGACCACGUGACUAAAGCUACACCACUGUUUAGUACAUCCUUUCUGUAUCUUACUUGCCAGUCUUGUGGUCAUUCAGCUGCUUACAUGGUGGGAUGGAGGAUUUCAAAAUAUGCCAUGGCCCACUGCCAUUGUGCUUACAGACUUACAACAUAUCAUGAAGAUGCUACAUUAAAGCCACUUCUUAAAGCAAAUGCCAUGUCCUAGAGUGUCAUCUGCAGGGAAGCAGUUUGCACUUGACAGAAAUCAAGGUCUUCUAAGUAAGUAUUGGCUCUGUGGACCCAAACCUAAAAUGUAACAGUUAAGGUAGCCUCUGGUUCAAGUGCAACUAGAGUGUGAAAGAGUCAGUCGUUAGUAGAUGUUAUGCUAUUGUCAUUGUUGAAUUCAUCCAGUCAGCUAGAAGAAAAUCAGAGCUCUGAGAGAACAAGGUGAAUAAUUUUUAAACAUUGAUACGGGGGAAGGUCUUGUCCAAUAUGGUGGGAAAUUGGAUAAAUCACAGGAAGAAUGAAGGAACUGGGUGUCUGACAGGAAUAGGGUUACUGAAAAGCAAAGAGGAGGAAGAAGGGAACUCAAACAUUAGGUAGAAGCAGUUAUAACCCAAGAUAAUCUUCAACUUGUUUCUAAUUUUUACUAAGACUUUUUCUCAAGAUCUGAUUUAAAACUAAUUUUUUCCAUAAAUCCAGAUUUUUAACAUUGAACAAGCAAGUUAAGUAUAGUAUUUCAAAGCCAAAAAAUGUGCCCAGGCCAGCCCGUGUGUUGAAUGUCAGAUACAUACUUCCCAAGGGGCAAAUGCUGCUCUACAGCCAUCCUCUGAAGCAUUAUCCAUCUUUAUGGGUUUUCUGAACUUGCAGUGAAUUGUGUCAUUUCUAAUAGCAAAUUGAGUAUUUUCCUGGAGAGGAGGAGAUGUUAACAUUGAUAGUGAGCUAUAAUGUUCUAAGAGAAUGCACUUAAACAUUUUGUUGAGAGACAAUUUGUUAGUAAAUAAUAGAAAAUAAUAGAAGGGAUUAAAGUGAGGCCAAAAGUUAUAAAUUAUUAAAAUCUAUUCUUGAUCCUACAAGAAGUAGCACAAAGAGAGCAAACGCACAAGUUGUCAGAUAUUCCACAUUUUUGCAUGUGGGCCAAACAGCUAUGCAUUUUCAGACCCCAAAUAGAUACCAUCAUCAAAACCACUGGACCUGAAUCAGGCGUCCUUCCUUUCAUGCACUUCGGUAUGAUCAUAGGUAGGCCUGUUGUGUAGUUCAGACCUAUGUAUUCCUAUCUGUAAAUGUGCUUGUCCUUGGGAGCAGAGAAAAGAAAACUAGACUAGACUGUGGAAGAUAUCUGUAGUCUGUAGUGAGCAAAGACUCAACAAAUAUGAUUCUAGAUCAUAUCCUGACCUUCAAAUUUUUUUAAAUCAAAGAUUAAUAUUUUAUUGAAGUUAGUAUAACUUGUAAGUUUUACCUCUCGGAACCUCCCAUUUUGACAAAUUAACCAUUUCCUACUGGUCCUCAUUCUGGUGACAAAGUCAUGACAUAAGCUUCAAUGCUUGCACCAGAAGUGAAAGUUUCAGCUCUCGGAGAAAGCCAUUACAAAAGGUUUGCUUUAUUUUAUUUUUAUUUUUUGCCAAUCAGUGUGAGCUUGUAAGGUUGCUCAGGUUAGCCUUGAACUCGUGACCUCACCUUCGCAAGCGCCAAGACAUCCGGCAGGAGCCACUUUGGACCCCAGGUUUGCUUUAUUAAAUACCCUCAUUCUAUAGGCCAGUCAUUACUUCUUUUAUUUUAUAUUUAUUUAUUUAUUUAUCUAUUUAUCUAUUUAUUUAUUAUUUGGAGACAGAGUCUCACUUUGUUGCACAAUUUUGGCUCACCACAACUCCACCUCCUGAGUUCAAGCGAUUCUCAUACCUCAGCCUCCAGAGUAGCUUGGAUUACAGGCAUGCGCCACCACGCCUGGUUAAUUAUUUAUGUUUUUAGUAGAGACAAAGUUUUGCCAUGUUGGCCAGGCUGGUCUCUAAUGCCUGACGUCUGGUGAUCCGCCCGCCUGGGCCUCCCAAAGGGCUGGGAUUACAGACAUGAGCCUCCACACCCAGCUGAUUCAUUACUUCUUAAUUCUCCCUUUGCAAAUGCUGUCUAAUUUUGAAUUCAUGAGAGUCAGUCCUGUGUCCCUAUCUUACUUUAGCUUUGAGAGAACAGAGAUAGCAGAGGAUAUUAUUGCUUCCAAAGACCCAAGCAUCUGUUUGUCAAUAAACUAAACCAAAGGUGCAUUGGUAAAAUUCAAAAGCUAGAUCCUCUAUGUGAAUCAGAUUUAGUAUCAUUGGAUAAUAUCAAGACUCUCAAAUUUAAGAAGGAAACAAAUUACUCAACAGCACUGACUGGGUCCUACCUCAGUGCUUAUCUUCACCACCCAGUGGAGUGGUUACACUACUGUUUCCUACCACGGUUUGUCAUUUCGUUGCAUUUCAAGGUUGUUUAGGGCCAGGGAGUUCUGCCAGCUAACAAAGCCCAAGAAAGUUAACGCCACAUGCAACAUGUGGACACAGCUUUGGAUGAUGUAAAUUUCUCCUCUAAUGCUAACAGACUUAUCUACCCUUUUAUCAAGCAAGAGAGAAGGUAUGGAAGAACUCACGUACAUCUAUCUUUACUACUAUGUUUAAUCAAAUCUGAGAAAUCACUGGAUACCAGAGAUGUUACGAUGUCGAAAAGAAGUCCUUGAAAAUUGCUAAAAUACAGCAUUUGAAAACGACUCUGGUCCAUGCUGUAUUUAACACGGCUCACCUAUGGCUUUUUUCAAAAAUAAAAAUAAGCACUAAUAUGUGGCCAUCGGGUUGCAAGUUCCUUGAGAUUAAGGACUCCUACGAAUGACUUUAGUGAUAGCUCAGGCAGAUAUCAUUUUAAGAUUUCUCUGCUGUGUCAAAUCUCAUUUCAGUUUUAAAAUGCCUUGUGAUUACACAGUACUAUUUGCAUGGUGCCCCUUUUAGCUUUUAGGUCACUUAUAUUUUGUCAAUCAGUCCUACAGUGUGAUUUAUUUAUCUAUCUCUUAAUAACCAUCAGCAGAGAAUAAUUUCUCUGGCCUCGCAUGGUAAUUUGUACUGUAAUUUCACCCCCGCUGCUGUAAAGUUAAAUUCAGACACAGCUAUGAUUGCUAAAAUUAAGAUUUCUAGGUCACUUUUCAGCCUCUGUGGUUCCUGUCUUUCAUCAUUUCGUCCCACUCCAUCUUCUUCAGUCAGAGUAUGGUUUGUCAAGCACAUGAGCAAAGAAUCCGUCAGUUGUUUCUUUCAAAUGUGGGGAGUACUUGAUAGAGAACAUUUCAGUACUUCAGUGAAAUGGGGUUUUUACGGCCAUCCUGUGUAUCCUGAAGUUCAAUUCAGAGAAAUGUGAAAGGGGAUAUUUUUUAAAUCACAGUCAGGUUACUUCCUAGAAACUCCUGCA